rnacentral:lncRNA from 1 species
UCUAAAAUAACAACUUCCAAAGUUUAUUUUUUUCUUCUCCUCUAUAAUUUUAUAUAAUAGCAUUUUAUAACAUUUAGUAUUAUAGUUUAAUGCCAGUUUACAUCUACAAUACAGAUUUUGAAAGUCUGUGUUAUAUUUAAUGUUAAUAACAAUCAUGGUUCUGUUUACUAGGAAAGUGUGUAUGAGAUGAUCUACCUGCUAGAGCAUCUUACGUCUACUGGUUGGUGGAGCCUCAGUGCAGAAACAAAUAUUUCAUGAUACUGAUCACUGAUAUUAGUCCUGAGUGAAACAGACAUCUGUCAGAUGGCCUUGGCUCCAAAUGCUUCCUGAGCAUUUCCGAAGGCGAGAGAAAUUGUUCCAAAUCUUCGUGCCGCACACUGACGUCCUUCACUCUUAUGGCAAAACAGAUGGAGAGUCCAAGUGACAGAAAACAAGACAGAAGCAGAAAUUUACCAUUGACCGAAGCUCCAUUAGUGAAUCAAUUUUUAAGUAAGAAGAGCUUAGAAAUGGAACAAGGCAUUUUUGACCCACAUAUUUUACAAAUGGAGAAGGGUGAAACAGCUUAG